rnacentral:snoRNA from 1 species
GUGCAGAUGAUGGAAACAAUUUUCACCUGAUCAGAGUGAUGUUUUCAAAGGAACCACUGAUGCAC